rnacentral:pre_miRNA from 1 species
CCAGGUUGAGGUAGUAGGUUGUAUAGUUUAGAAUUACAUCAAGGGAGAUAACUGUACAGCCUCCUAGCUUUCCCUGG